rnacentral:misc_RNA from 1 species
UGCUGCAACCAAAGCUAGAGGCCAACAAAAAUGGAGUUCGCAUACAGAUUGAUUGGCACAGCAAUGAGAGCGACCAACAACAACACAGUGAUAAACUUAUGCCUCGUAGGAUCUUUUUUGGAGCAAUGCGUGCGAUCCGUUAACCAGCAAAAGGACAUAGAAGCUUUGGAGGCUGAGAAGGGCUCUCUCAUAAAAUCAAACAAAGCCAUGAAAAAGAUUAUGUGGAAUUGGAAGCAAAUGCUCUCCGUUGAAGCUGACUCCGACGCCGCCUUGGUCCCUCUUGCCAGA